rnacentral:rRNA from 1 species
UACGUAGGGGGCAAGCGUUGUCCGGAUUUACUGGGCGUAAAGCGUGCGCAGGCGGUCUAUUAAGACAGGUGUGAAAUCCCCGGGCUUAACCUGGGAACUGCGCUUGUAACUGAUAGGCUUGAGUGUGGCAGAGGGGGGUGGAAUUCCACGUGUAGCAGUGAAAUGCGUAGAGAUGUGGAGGAACACCGAUGGCGAAGGCAGCCCCCUGGGCUAACACUGACGCUCAUGCACGAAAGCGUGGGGAGCAAACAGG